AGUUGGUAGGGUAAAGGCCUACCAAGGCUACGACGGGUCGCUGGUCUGAGAGGACGACCAGCCACACUGGCACUGAGAUACGGGCCAGACUCCUACGGGAGGCAGCAGUGAGGAAUAUUGCGCAAUGGGGGAAACCCUGACGCAGCAACGCCGCGUGUGGGAAGAAGGCCUUGGGUCGUAAACCACUUUUGCACGGGACGAAAAAGGGAUAUCGAACAAAUAUCCCCGAUGACGGU
rnacentral:rRNA from 1 species